GAACUUAGCAGAGAUGUUUGGUGCCUUCGGGAACUNUGAGACAGGUGCUGCAUGGCUGUCGUCAGCUCGUGUUGUGAAAUGUUGGGUUAAGUCCCGCAACGAGCGCAACCCUUAUCCUUUGUUGCCAGCGGUCCGGCCGGGAACUCAAAGGAGACUGCCAGUGAUAAACUGGAGGAAGGUGGGGAUGACGUCAAGUCAUCAUGGCCCUUACGAGUAGGGCUACACACGUGCUACAAUGGCAUAUACAAAGAGAAGCGACCUCGCGAGAGCAAGCGGACCUCAUAAAGUAUGUCGUAGUCCGGAUUGGAGUCUGCAACUCGACUCCAUGAAGUCGGAAUCGCUAGUAAUCGUGGAUCAGAAUGCCACGGUGAAUACGUUCCCGGGCCUUGUACACACCGCCCGUCACACCAUGGGAGUGGGUUG
rnacentral:rRNA from 1 species